UGUUGCUUCAGGGUAGUUCCUUAGAAAGCGAAGGUGGUCCAGAGGUUCAUGUGGGGUGUGAAAUGAGUGGCUUUAGUACUGAGGACAAGCACAUUCAACUCUUCUAAAAUGUUUUCAUUUGUUUCUCAGUGUGUUUAAAUUUGGCGGGGGGGGGGGUGUGCUGGAAUUUCACCAGUUGGCACAAAUAGUACCUUUUGCAAUGAUCUGCCUGUUGGACAGUGUCAAUGGAUACCAGAGGAUUGCCCCGCUGGAAAGUCAUCAGGUAGAUUGACAUAAAAGAAAAAUCAAAUUAGAGCUCCAAGUUAAGAGGCAAGUCACAAGUCAUUGCUUAGGGGGAAACUGUGGAAAGGGUAAGAUCUGGAUAAAAAUCCUUGUGGAUUUUUAUGUGACUGCAUUGUUUAUGCACUGUGUAUAAUGAAAAGGAAUUUUUUUUUCUUUUUGUAUCAAGAUAUAUAAAUAUAUAGUUCCUUUUAUUAUAGAAGCUAUUUACUCUUAAAAAAAAAAGGAAGAAAUACCCUUACAGAGUGAGCAUCAUUUUACUAAAAGGUUCCUGCAGCUAAGCAGAUUUAGCUCUGCUUUUAAAUAAAUACAGGGAAAUGUUUAACCCCUAUUGUAUGGCUACAAAGCCUGUGCUGAUCACAGAGAAGCUUGGGAGGGUGGGGGACAAAGCGACGGACUGCUCUUGUACGUGCUUCUGCACACAGUUCAGCAACAGCAGGGCUUAACAGCAGAGUUUUGUCAAGAUUACAACAUGAAGAGGAGCAUGGUGCAAAUUCUUACCUCUCACUAACAAAAAGAAAGGGAUAAAAAAAAAGCAAUCCAUCAAAAAGGGAAGAGGACUAUAUAGCUAUAUGUGCAAGGCAAGGCAGUGACAUAAAGACCUGUCAUACAGGGAAUAAGAAAGAAGAUAGAGAGCAUCUUGCUCAGAAGUUAUUUGUACAAAGUUUCAGUUUGUCUGGACAAGUUUCUACAAUCCUCUAUGUGAUAUGGAGGCUUUUAGGCCACGCAGGUUUUGAAGGUAUUGAAGCUCCUUCACAUCUAGAACAGCAGACUGCAGAAAGGUAGCAUGCUUCU